UACGUAGGUGGCAAGCGUUGUCCGGAAUUAUUGGGCGUAAAGCGCGCGCAGGCGGUUCUUUAAGUCUGAUGUGAAAGCCCACGGCUCAACCGUGGAGGGUCAUUGGAAACUGGAGAACUUGAGUACAGAAGGGGAAAGCGGAAUUCCACGUGUAGCGGUGAAAUGCGUAGAGAUGUGGAGGAACACCAGUGGCGAAGGCGGCUUUCUGGUCUGUAACUGACGCUGAGGCGCGAAAGCGUGGGGAGCAAACAGG
rnacentral:rRNA from 1 species